ACACUUAGCUGACAGGGCGAUAAUGGUGGUCACCACGGCGGCUUUCCCGGGUCGGUCCUUCAGACUCCGUGUGUGCUGACUCCUGCAGUCCCCCGAUGUGGGACACUCGACUGCGUAAUAUGUGGCGGUAGGGGACUGUGUUCACGUUUUCCCCGA
rnacentral:snRNA from 1 species